CUGAGUGGGCAGUCGGUGUCUAUCUGCAACAUUCGCAGCUCGACCCUUGUGCUUGUUUUGGC
rnacentral:pre_miRNA from 1 species